GCUCCAGACUCCUACUGGAGGCAUCAUUUAGGAAUAUUGUUCAAUGGGCGAUCUCCUUAACCAGCCCCUUCUCGUGAAGUCUUCCUGCCCUACUUUUUUUAAACUUCUUUUUUCAGGGAGCCCUUUUUUCCACGCUUUUUCUUAGCGAGCUUCCCUGAAGAAACCUCCUCGGCUAACUCCUUUCCAGCAGCCUCUUUCAUACGGAUUCUUCUAGCGUUAUCCGGAUUUAUUGGGUGUAAAGGGUGCGUAGGAGGAAUAUCAAGGAAGAGGUAAAAAUUAGGGGAUCAACCCAGUAGUGCCGUUGAAAAUGGUCUUCUUGAGUGAGCGAGAAGGAUGCGGAAUGAGUGGUGUAGCGGUGAAAUGCAUAGAGAGAAAGCAGAACGAAGAGGGCGAAGGAAGAAGACCGGCGCUAAACUGACGCUGAGGCACGAAAGCGUGGGGAGAGAACAGGAUUAGAUACCCGAGUA
rnacentral:rRNA from 1 species